rnacentral:other from 1 species
CAUCCCCUGCGGUGUUCGGCAGCAGGCCCGAUACUCCCUUGAGCCUAUGCUUUUAGCAUCCCGGGACCUCGUUGCGGAUGCCAGUGUGCAUGUCCGCCUCGCAGCGGAAAGCCUGAGGCGCCGCUUCUGUCCCACUUGAACCUCACGGUUCAAGGAUGACGGCAAGCACCGACACAGGCGGGGGAUGU